AAAUAUAAGACAAACUUUAAGAAUAGUGAAAAACAUCAAUUCACAAAACACUAGUGUUAAAUCUUAAUAAGAACUCUUAAUCCGUCAAAAUAUAUACUUAGAUCAAAUAUAUGUAUAAUUUCACAUUUUUAUUAUUUCCAAAUAUUUUUAUAAGUAAAUGUAUAAUAUAAAAAUAAAUAAUAAGUAAAAUAUACAUUAUAAGAUAUAAAUAUUACAUUAAACACUUAUCGUAAUAUUAUCAUUUAUUAUAAAGCAAAAAAUAGAAUAAGUAAAUAUACAAUAUAAGAAAAAUAAACUAUAAGUAAAUAUACAAUAUAAAAAAUAAAAAAUAGAAAAUAAUUAAACAUCUAUCUGAAAAAAUUAUAAUAAAACAAAUAAUCUGUAAAUAUACAAUAUAAGAAAGGUUUUUUUGCAAAAUUGACUUAUAACUUAAAGUCAAUCACAAAACUAACUUCCAUUUUUUUUUGGAAAUUGGUUUUGCCCUAUUCACCCCACAAAUUCAUAUAAUUCACGAAAAUGCCAUCAAUUUUUUUUUUAUUUUUUUUUCGAAAAUGACAUUUUUACUCUCUAACCCUCAUCAUCUUCAAGUAAUUACAAGAUUGCCAUUGUCAUCAAUACCCUAACCACCAUGAACAACCAAUUUGA
rnacentral:lncRNA from 1 species